rnacentral:rRNA from 1 species
GUCGAGCGGGCACCUUCGGGUGUCAGCGGCAGACGGGUGAGUAACACGUGGGAACGUACCCUUUGGUUCGGAAUAACGCAUGGAAACGUGCGCUAAUACCGGAUACGCCCUUUUGGGGAAAGGCUUGCUGCCGAAGGAUCGGCCCGCGUCUGAUUAGCUAGUUGGUGGGGUAAUGGCCUACCAAGGCGACGAUCAGUAGCUGGUCUGAGAGGAUGAUCAGCCACACUGGGACUGAGACACGGCCCAGACUCCUACGGGAGGCAGCAGUGGGGAAUAUUGGACAAUGGGCGCAAGCCUGAUCCAGCCAUGCCGCGUGAGUGAUGAAGGCCUUAGGGUUGUAAAGCUCUUUUGUCCGGGACGAUAAUGACGGUACCGGAAGAAUAAGCCCCGGCUAACUUCGUGCCAGCAGCCGCGGUAAUACGAAGGGGGCUAGCGUUGCUCGGAAUCACUGGGCGUAAAGGGCGCGUAGGCGGCCAUUCAAGUCGGGGGUGAAAGCCUGUGGCUCAACCACAGAAUUGCCUUCGAUACUGUUUGGCUUGAGUAUGGUAGAGGUCAGUGGAACUGCGAGUGUAGAGGUGAAAUUCGUAGAUAUUCGCAAGAACACCAGUGGCGAA